AUGUCGCCGCCGGCCGUCCUGGUUUCCAACGGCGCCGUCUCCCCGCACGCUCCUCCUUCCGCGGCUGCUUUCCUCGAGUCCACUCCGGGCGCCUACACUACCGCGCGCGCAUCCUCCACAGGCCUCAUCCUCUGGUGGCCACGCCACCUCCUCCGCCUCGCCGACUCCGCGCGCCUCCUCGCCCAAUCCCGUCCCCACCUCCUCGGCCUCCCUGCAAAGCCGCCGGGUGCCCUCUCCACAGCGCCCAUCGAGCCUCUCGUUAACCAAUCCGUGCGGGUCGGCGUCCACGAGAUGCGGAGCCGGAUGCUGGCGCUUGGGGAGUGCUGCCCGGGGGAAGAUAUGGCGCUCACAGCGUUGGUUCGAGCUGGUCGGGCGGCGGAUGGGCUGGAGGUAUGCGUCCACCUGGGUGUGUACGUGCCUCCGGUGUUCGGGGACGCCGGGGCGAAGCUUGCAGUGGCCGGGAGCGGAAGGGAGGCCGCCGCCGCCAAGUACGCUCCUUGGGCCAGGAUGAGGAAGAGUAUGGAGAAGAUGAGGCCUCCUGGAGCCACGGAGCUCUUGCUGACCAACGAUGGGGAUCAUCUUCUUGAAGGCAGUGUUACAAACUUCUUCGUCGUCUGCCAGAAGGAGGAACGUCAGUCAAAGGAACCCUUGUCUGUUCAAACAAUGGCAAAUAAGUUUGAAGUACAAACAGCUCCACUAAGAGAUGGAGUUCUCCCUGGAAUUAUGCGCCAGAUAGUCAUUGAGGAGUGCCAUGAUCUUGGGAUCCCAGUACGUGAGGUCUCACCGUCAUGGUCCAAGCGUGAACUUUGGGAAGAAGCCUUUGUUACAAGUAGCUUAAGGCUUAUCCAGCACGUGGGGACAGUUCAAGCACCUUUACUAUGGGAGGACAUAGAAACAAAAACCUGGAGGGAUGUAUCUUGGGCGGUGAAGCAAUUUCAGGGCGCUGGACACAUCACCACACUGAUACAGGUUAGUUCUCCUGUGCUCCCAUGGCGUAUUUAA
rnacentral:rRNA from 1 species